CAAUAGCGUAUAUUAAAGUUGUUGCAGUUAAAAAGCUCGUAGUUGGAUUUCUGGUUGAAGCGACCGGUCGGGCGUUGAUUCGUCUGCACUGGAGUCGGUUUUGGCCAUCCUCUAGGAAAGUGCGUCUGGUAUUAAGUUAUCGGGCGUAUGAUCCUGGUCUUUUACUGUGAAAAAAUUAGAGUGUUUAAAGCAGGCCUUCGCCUUGAAUACAUUAGCAUGGAAUAAUAAGAUAGGACUUUGGUCUAUUUUGUUGGUUUGCAGACCGAAGUAAUGAUUAAUAGGGAUAGUUGGGGGUAUUUAUAUUCCGAUGUCAGAGGUGAAAUUCUUAGAUUUUCGGAAGAUAAACUUAUGCGAAAGCAUUUACCAAGGACGUUUUCAUUAA
rnacentral:rRNA from 1 species